rnacentral:rRNA from 1 species
GAUUAUUGGGCGUAAGCGCGCGUAGGCGGUUUUUUAAGUCUGAUGUGAAAGCCCACGGCUCAACCGUGGAGGGUCAUUGGAAACUGGAAAACUUGAGUGCAGAAGAGGAAAGUGGAAUUCCAUGUGUAGCGGUGAAAUGCGCAGAGAUAUGGAGGAACACCAGUGGCGAAGGCGACUUUCUGGUCUGUAACUGACGCUGAUGUGCGAAAGCGUGGGGAUCAAACAGGAUUAGAUACCC